GGUUACCAUUAGGAGUCAAGAUGACAACAACCAGAUAGCCAGCUUGCUUAACCUAAAAGCUGUGAGUGAGGCCUGGAUCGGACUGUACCGGGACAGCUGGAAGUGGUCAGAUCAGGCCAGCUUUACUUCCUCAACUGAACUCGCUGUUCAGAAACUUACCGGGGCCAAAGAAGACUGUGCUGGUACAGAUUAUUAUCGUACUACUGACGAUAAAUACUGCACUGACCUUCAUUACUUCUACUGUAGCACAGUCAAGAAGAAGCAGCAGGUGAUCCGAGUGCAGGUGAAAGCCAGUGAGAACGCAGACGACGCUACACUGAGUGCACUCGUCUUACGCAAGUUACAGCAGACGCUGGGCGAUCAGGACGUCACACUGACAUGGAAGAAACAACCGAACGGAAAAGUCUUCCAGAAGAAAAAGACUGUGGGAAAAAGUAGUAAUACUUCAACUUGCUGAGUCAUGUUUCUUACAUUGAGUGAAAUUUCUCUCAUAUUAAUGCUUCAUUUCAUUCUUAGCUACAGAUAUCUGAAUUAAACUAGAUUAAAUCACAACUUACAAGUAAUUAGUCAAAAAUAAAUUUCCAUAUAUUCAUUUUUCAUUUAUUUAGCAGACAGAUAUGUACACCUGAAUAUGAGCGAACAAAUGUAAACAUGUUUUAGCACUGUAAAAUCUUCAUGAAGAAUAAAUAAAGACCU